rnacentral:rRNA from 1 species
GAUGAACGCUGGCGGCGUGCUUAACACAUGCAAGUCGAACGGAAAGGCCCAAGCUUGCUUGGGUGCUCGAGUGGCGAACGGGUGAGUAACACGUGGGUGAUCUGCCCUGCACUUUGGGAUAAGCCUGGGAAACUGGGUCUAAUACCGGAUAGGACCAUCGUUUAGUGUCGGUGGUGGAAAGUUUUUCGGUGUGGGAUGAGCUCGCGGCCUAUCAGCUUGUUGGUGGGGUAAUGGCCUACCAAGGCGUCGACGGGUAGCCGGCCUGAGAGGGUGUACGGCCACAUUGGGACUGAGAUACGGCCCAGACGCCUACGGGAGGCAGCAGUGGGGAAUAUUGCACAAUGGGCGCAAGCCUGAUGCAGCGACGCCGCGUGGGGGAUGACGGCCUUCGGGUUGUAAACUCCUUUCGCCAAGGACGAAGCGUUUUGUGACGGUACUUGGAGAAGAAGCACCGGCUAACUACGUG